GAAGUGCGAUAAGCAAUGCGAAUUGCAGAAUUCCGCGAAUCAUCAGAUCUUUGAACGCAAAUGGCGCCGGAGGGAUAUCCUUUCGGCAUGUCUGUUUCAGUGUCUGAGAGGUUUCACACAAAUCUUAAUGUGAUUGAAGGGUUGUUUGAGAGUACUUGCUACUCCCUCACAAGUCUUCUCUCAUGAAAGAUGGGUGAGUGGAUCUUUCGGUCCAAUGAAGUGGUCACAUCACUCGCAUGUGAUUUCAUUGGGAAAUCACCGAAUUAUUCGUAUACUCACCGUAACUAUUUUUUUGUUGUUGUCUAACAGCAGCAGCAAAAAAGAAUCUCCAUACCCUGCAUCUGAGAUAGGCAAGAUCACCCGCUGAACUUAA
rnacentral:misc_RNA from 1 species